UACGGGGGGGGCAAGCGUUGUUCGGAAUUACUGGGCGUAAAGGCUCGUAGGCGGCCAACUAAGUCAGACGUGAAAUCCCUCGGCUUAACCGGGGAACUGCGUCUGAUACUGGAUGGCUUGAGGUUGGGAGAGGGAUGCGGAAUUCCAGGUGUAGCGGUGAAAUGCGUAGAUAUCUGGAGGAACACCGGUGGCGAAGGCGGCAUCCUGGACCAAUUCUGACGCUGAGGAGCGAAAGCCAGGGGAGCAAAGCGGG
rnacentral:rRNA from 1 species